GUUGUUGCAAUCGUUAUAACGUUACUGUAAUCAAACUUAUAUGUUUUAUAGAUUUACCGAGCAAUCAAAACAAAGUAUAACGUUACAGUUUACUACAUCUUUACUACAACUUCGUACACAAUUCACAGAGCAAUAAAGUAUAACUGUAAGUUACUACGGCUUUACUACAGCUUCGUGCACAAUGGAGCCUCGCUUCAGGAGACGGGCUGAUGGCAGCCUGAAUCUUUCGGACACACUGGAAGCAGCAAAGGUGAAGGAAGCCAACAAAGGAAAGCCUUACACAAGACCCCUGUCCCCGGAGGCUGUGCUGGACAAGGCCAAGAAAAGCUUAAGUCAGCACCAUGGAGAUCCAGCUAACAGAAAGCACCUGCUGGGUUUCUUUGAAAUCCAGUUUGGUAUCUUUCGUGGGCAAA